CCGACUGAUGGUGUUAAUCAGGGCCGGGUCCUCCCAGGCGGGGAGGCGAUGGAACUCGGAGGACUGAUGAAGGGAGUGGGGAGAGUUCCUCUUGCCGGUAUGGCGUCGUUGGCCUGAAGCAGGAAGACCAGAAUUGAAUGCAGUAUUCCAAAAGUGGCCGAAUCAAUAUCCUGUACAGCGCAACAUCGCCUACCAACGCCUAUAGUAAAUGGGCUGACGUAUAAAUGAUGUGGAGUUGCCAGUGUUGGACUGGGGUGGAUACCUAUGGUCUGAUGAUUCUGCCUCACUAGCUACUGAUAAAGGAGCAGUGCUGCAAAAGCUUGUACUUGCAAAUAAACCUGUUGGACUGUAA